rnacentral:rRNA from 1 species
UAAAAAAUUUGGCGGUAUUUUAGUCUAUUCAGAGGAACCUGUUCUGUAAUCGAUAAUCCACGAUGGACCUUACUUAAGUUUGUAAUCAGUUUAUAUACCGUCGUUAUUAGAAUAUUUUAUAAGAAUGUUAAUUUUCAUAAUUUUUUAAAAGAAAAUAUAUCAGAUCAGGUGUAGCUAAUAUUUAAGUAGAAAUGGGUUACAAUAAAAAUAUUUAUACGAAUAUAAAUUUGAAAUGUUUAUUGAAGGUGGAUUUGAUAGUAAAAUUAUAAAGAUUAAUAAUUUGAUUUUAGCUCUAAAAUAUGCACACAUCGCCCGUCACUCUUACUACUAAGGUAAGAUAAGUCGUAACAUAGUAGAUGUACUGGAAAGUGUACCUAGAAUGCAAUUUAAAGCUUAUUUAGUAAAGCAUUUCAUUUACAUUGAAAAGAUUUUUGUGCAAAUCAAUAUAAAUUGAUUAGAUUUUAUUUAUUAAUUAUAUUUGUUUUUAAAUUAAAUUAUUAAAAAUAAUUAUAAAAUGAAUUGUUUUAGUAUUUAAUAAAGAAAAAAUAAUAUUAAUUAUAGUGUAAUAGUAUUGUGAAAGAAAAUUGAAAUAAUUUGAAAAAUUUUUAUUUUAAAAGAAAAUUU